rnacentral:misc_RNA from 1 species
UAAAAAUCUCAAGCUCGGCUUGGUGUUGGGUGUUCGUCCCCCCACCCGCUAAGGGGGGUCUAGGACGUGCCUGAAAAUCAGUGGCGGUGCCACGAUAGCCUCAAGCGUAGUAGACUCUCUCGCGCUUUGGAUGGUUUGUCGGGUGGCUCACCAGCCUAAUCUUGAAAUCAUAGAAAG